UAGAUACCCUGGUAGUCCACGCCGUAAACGUUGGGAACUAGGUGUGGGUCUCAUUCCACGAGAUCCGUGCCGCAGCUAACGCAUUAAGUUCCCCGCCUGGGGAGUACGGCCGCAAGGCUAAAACUCAAAGGAAUUGACGGGGGCCCGCACAAGCGGCGGAGCAUGUGGAUUAAUUCGAUGCAACGCGAAGAACCUUACCAAGGCUUGACAUACACCGGAAACAUCCAGAGAUGGGUGCCCCGCAAGGUCG
rnacentral:rRNA from 1 species